AGGGGAAGGAGCGAAGAUGGCGGAGUGAGGCGUGCCCCGGGCAGCUGGCCUGCGGGCCCGGGGCAGGCCUCCCGUGAGAAGCGGAGUACUUGUGCUGGACCGUGUGAGGAACCAUAUCACACAAGAUGAAUAUUUUCCUGACCUUAGGUGCUUUUAUAUUCAGCUCAACAUUCUGAACUCAGGACUUGGCACUGAGAUGCAGAUGUCUUUCGACAGAUUACCUCCAUGGUUUAGGAUGCAGAGACUGCCUUUCUUUUACGUCAGACUCAACACAGGAAAGCCGUGAGGAUGCAGCCGUCCUGUUGACUUCAGCAAGAAAACAAACCAUGGACUUGGGUCUUCUGCAGCUUUUGAAUUGGAAAGACGGUGUUUGCAAGUAGAAGGAAGAUGCUGAAUUUGAAACAAGUGCUUAGGUUCUGUGGCGUGAGUUGUUUUCUUUUUAAAAGAUCCAAACAAGAAGACUGAACAAAUACCAAGUGUGGGUGACUUCAGGUUUUUUUUUUAAUGUCUUCCAAUUUUAACACUAUUAUAAGCACAGUUGACCGCAGUAAGUUCCAAAUAUUUAAUAUAAUUUGAAGUGAAAGAAAUGUUAUCUAAAUUCUGGCUCACUCUUUGACAGUUUUCCUGGACAAAAACAAGAUACGAUAAAAGCAGAAACCAGGUUUGAUUUUGUAUGGGAGUGAAAUCAUUACAGUUUUAUGGGUAUAAAUCUACAUUUUUAAACAAGAUUUUUCUCUUGGAGAAGAAACCUGUUGUUUAUAAGAAGGCUUUGGACAGUUUAAUAGUCUUAAAUGUUCUGCUUUGCUGUUCUAGUCCUUCUCAGGAAGGCCCAGCUGGGCCUGUGGCUAGUUCAGAAUGGGAGGAAACAUAGGCUGGGACAAUGCUCACCCUGAACUGCCAGCGUGUGGGAGGCCAAGGCAGGAAGAGCAGAUGUUCAGGGCCAGCUUGGACAUCAAGAGGCUCAAAACCAGUAGGAAAAAAAACAGAGCCCAGUAACACCCUCUUUUAUAUUCCUUUUGUGGAAUCAUGUAGCAUGUGAGACUGGGUUGGAAGGGAACUGGCAUAUGUGGUAUUUCAGUUAAGGUGAUGUGGUGGACCCUGAUGUGUAACUGGCCUUCACCUUUGGACAUACAGGAAUGAAGGAAAAACUAAAGCUUGGCAUAUAAAUCUUUUCUUCUAAGAAAAAGAAGCAAAGCUGUCUAAUGUAGCAUUGUCUGACUUUUCAACAUUUUUACUUUAUGUGGUUGCAUUUUUUUAUAAAAGUAUAAAUAAGUUCCUUCAACCCAAAA
rnacentral:lncRNA from 1 species